rnacentral:lncRNA from 1 species
GUCGUGAAGUUUUACAUAUUGAUGGUGUGGUUUAUUUUUAUAUUCAUGCAUAUAUACAGUGUUACAUAUUGGUUUUACAAGCUAUUUUGUAUUGUAGAAAUGACAAUCUAUUUGUGAACUAAGUGGUAUGCCAGAGACUGUCGCUAACCCUGCUGUAGACUUCAAGAGCUGCUAUGAUGUAGGACUCACACUGAGCACAGGGAACAUGCCUGGCAUACAUCCUAUCUAUGUUCAGUCCAACUGUAACUGACGCUAUGAAAAAGGCACUUGGGUGGAGAACCUCCCUUACCUAAACUGUGCAUCUGCAUACACGAAGAAGAGGAUUAAGUAGGAAUUGUUCAUCAUGUCAGUGGAUUGCUUUGUCCAGAAUCUAGUCUGUGAGCAACUAAGAAGUACUGCGUAUUAAAAAUGCAAGAGGCUGUAGAAUGGUUAUUUAACAUAAGUGAUCUGCUUGGGAGGAUGACUGCAAUUUCCUAAUCAAGUUGUCUUAUGUUUUAAAAGAGGAAACACUUCUUCCAGAAUACUCUAAUCCUAUUUGAUGCAACUGUGGAUGCACUCAUUACCUAGCCUAAAUAGGUGGCCUUUUGUAACAACCCUUGAACUCCACUCUUCUUAUAAAGCCAAAAGUUCUGAAGGUUUACCAUGCCUGUUUUUUUAAAUCACCAUAUCCUUUUCUUGGUUUAAUAUGUUCCCUCCAGUUUCAGUGCCAAACUUUGAAAGCUGAGUGGACAAACUAGUAACUAUGUGUGGUUUACAGCACAGCUGCUAGCAAAUGAAUCUUACACUGGACCAAGGUCAUAGUAGUAUGGGGAAUGAAUGCCUGUUUCUUAUUUCUUAUAGCAAGAUAAAAGAUGCUGAAUUUGAACUGGAGGUGGAGGAGGCACAAAAUAGUGGAGUUGAGCCAGCUUUUCACAGCGUGCAGGGGCGGAGGGUCCUCUGUCUCUCGCUGAAGGUCCUUUACUUCUUGCCUCAGCCUUUUGGUCAAAGGAGAUUCUCAUUGUAAUAAUGCUAUUAGACUUCAGUCUGUGCUGGGCUAGUGAAGAUGCUGUGUAUUUGUUUUGGCAUUAAGGAAGUUUUGCUUCUGGUGAAUGGUCACAGAACUGGUUUUACUGAAACAACAAAAUGACGAUCAAAUGCUAGAGUGAGGCUGAAGCUACCUGGGUUCAGUUUCCUGCAGUGCCACAGGACUUCCUGUUAGAACAGUAAGACCACAGUAAGUGAUUUAAGUUUUUAUAUUAAAAUGCUGUUGGAAGAGAAAUACUUUACUUUGUAAAGUUUUCACUUGGUAAUGGAAAAAAUGAUUUUUUUUUUAAAUAAAGGAAUUCCUUUUUCAUAGAAUUUAUGCA